rnacentral:rRNA from 1 species
AGUGAACGCUGGCGGUAGGCCUAACACAUGCAAGUCGAACGGCAGCACAGGUGAGCUUGCUCUCUGGGUGGCGAGUGGCGGACGGGUGAGGAAUACAUCGGAAUCUACUUUUUCGUGGGGGAUAACGUAGGGAAACUUACGCUAAUACCGCAUACGACCUACGGGUGAAAGCAGGGGACCUUCGGGCCUUGCGCGAUUGAAUGAGCCGAUGUCGGAUUAGCUAGUUGGCGGGGUAAAGGCCCACCAAGGCGACGAUCCGUAGCUGGUCUGCGAGGAUGAUCAGCCACACUGGAACUUAGACACGGUCCAGAGUCCUACGGGAGGCAGCAGUAGGGAAUAUUGGACAAUGGGCGCAAGCCUGAUCCAGCCAUACCGCGUGGGUGAAGAAGGCCUUCGGGUUGUAAAGCCCUUUUGUUGGGAAAGAAAUCCAGCUGGCUAAUACCCGGUUGGGAUGACGGUACCCAAAGAAUAAGCACCGGCUAACUUCGUGCCAGCCGCCGCCGUAA